rnacentral:lncRNA from 1 species
ACAACCGCGCCCAAAAAUUAGCCCCCGAAGGUCGGGGUGCCAAGACCCCCCAGCGGAAAAAUGGCCAAAAAACGGGUGGGCUAUAGCCUUGGUAGGGGGCGUGGGCGAAUUUCGUCCGCAGGACUCGGAAUGGCCCCAGACUUUGCGGGCGGCCCUCGUCUGCCAAAAAUAGGCCACGGGCACAGCCGCGCCCAAAAAUUAGCCCCCGAAGGUCGGGGUACCAAGAUCCCCCUGCGGAAAAAUGGCCAAAAAACGGGUGGGCUAUAGCCUUGGUGGGGGGCGUGGGCGAAGUUCGUCCGCCGGACUCGGAAUGGCCCCAGACUUUGCGGGCGGCCCUCGUGUGCCAAAAAUAGGCCACGGGCACAGCCGCGCCCAAAAAUUAGCCCCCGAAUGUCGGGGUGCCAAGACCCCCCAGCGGAAAAAUAGCCAUAAAACGGGUGGGCUAUAGCCUUGGUGGGGGGCGUGGGCGAAGAUCGUCCGCCGGACUCGAAAUGGCCCCAGACUUUGCGGGCGGCCCUCGUGUGCCAAAAAUAGGCCACGGGACAGCCGCACCCAAAAAUUAGCCCCCGAAGGUCGGGCUGCCAAGACCCCCCAGCGGAAAAAUGGCCCAAAAACGGGUGGUUUAUAGCCUUGGUGGGGGGCGUGGGCGAAGUUCGUCCGCAGGGCUCGGAAUGGCCCCAGACUUUGCGGGCGGUCCUCGUGUGCCAAAAAUAGCCCACGGGCACAAUCGCGCCCAAAAAUUAGCCCCCGAAUGUCGGGGUGCCAAGACCCCCCAGCGGGAAAAUGGCCAAAAAACGGGUGGGCUAUAGCCUUGGUGGGGGUCGUGGGCGAAGUUCGUCCGCCGGGCUCGGAAUGGCACCAGACUUUACGGGCGGCCCUCGUGUGCCAAUAAUAGGCCACGGGCACAGCCGCGCCCAAAAAUUAGCCCCCGAAGGUCGGGGUGCCAAGACCCCCCAGCGGAAAAAUGGCCAAAAAACGGGUGGGCUAUAGCCUUGGUGGGGGGCGUGGGCGAAGUUCGUCCGCAGGACUCGGAAUGGCCCCAGACUUUGCGGGCGGCCCUCUUCUGCCAAAAAUAGGCCACGGGCACAGCCGCGCCCAAAAAUUAGCCCCCGAAGGUCGGGGUGCCAAGACCCCCCAGCGGAAAAAUGGCCAAAAAACGGGUGGGCUAUAGCCUUGGUGGGGGGGGUGGGCGAAGUUCGUCCGCAGGAUUAGAAAUGCCCCCAGACUUUGUAGACGGCCCUCGUGUGCCAAAAAUUGGCCACGGACACAGCCGCGCCCAAAAAUUAGCCCCCGAAGGUCGGGGUGCCAAGACCCCCCAGCGGAAAAAUGGCCAAAAAGCGGGUGGGCUAUAGCCUUGGAGGGGGGCGUGGGCGAAGUUCGUCCGCCGGACUCGGAAUGGCCCCAGACUUGCGGGCGGCCUCCGUGUGCCAAAAAUAGGCCACGGGCACAGCCGCGCCCAAAAACUAGCCCCCGAAGGUCGGGGUGCCAAGACCCCCCAGCGGAAAAAUGGCCAAAAAACGGGUGGGCUAUAGCCUUGGGGGUGGGGCUGGCAAACUUCGUCCGCCGGACUCGGAAUGCCCCCAGACUUUACGGGCGGCCCUCGUGUGCCAAAAAUAGGCCGCGGGCACAGCCGCUCCCAAAAAUAACCGCCCGAACGCCGGGGCGCCAAGUUCGUCCCGCGGAAAAAGGCCACAAAAACGGGUGGGCUAUAGCCUUGGGGGGUGGGGCUGGCCAACUUAGUCCGCCGGACUCGGAAUGGCGCGAGACUUUGCGAGUCACCUCCGUGUGCCAAAAAUAGGCCGCGGGAACAGCCGUAUCAAAAAUUACCUCCCGAAGGCCGGGGCGCCGAGUUCGUCCCGCGGAAAAAGGCCACAAAAACGGGUGGGCUAUAUAGCCUUGGGGGGUGGGGCUGGCCAACUUCGUCCGCCGGACUCGGAUUGGCGCGAGACUUUGCGAGUGGCCUCCAUGUGCCAAAAAUAGGCCGCGGGCACAGCCGUACCAAAAAUAACCACCCGAAGGCCGGGGCGCCAAGUUCGUCCAGCGGAAAAAGGCCACAAAAACGGGUGGGCUAUAGCCUUCGGGGGUGGGGCUGGCAAACUUCGUCCGCCGGACUCGGAAUGGCGCGAGACUUUGCGAGCGGCCUCCAUGUGCCAAAAAUAGGCCGCGGGCACAGCCGCUCCCAAAAAUAACCGCACAAAGGCCGGGGCGCCAACUUCGUCCAGCGGAAAAAGCCACAAAAACGGGUGGGCUAUAGACUUGGGGGAUGGGGCUGGCCAUCUUCGUCCGCCGGACUCGGAAUGGCAUGAGACUUUGCGAGCGGCCUCCGUGUGCCAAAAAUAGGCCGCGUACACAGCCGCGCCCAAAAAUAACCACCCGAAGGCCGGGGCGCCGAGUUCGUCCAGCGGAAAAAGGCCACAAAAACGGGUGGGCUAUAGCCUUGGGGGGUGGGGCUGGCCCACUUCGUCCGCCAGAAUCGGAAUGGCGUGAGACAUUAUGAGGCGCCUCCAUGUGCCAAAAAUAGGGCGCGGGCACAGCCGUGCCAAAAAGUAACCGCCCGAAGGCCGGGGCGCCAAGUACGUCCAGCGGAAAAAGGCCACAAAAACGGGUGGGCUAUAGCCUUUGGGGGUGGGGCUGGCCAACUUUGUCCGCCGGACUCGGAAUGGCGCGAGACUUUGCGAGCGGCCUCCGUGUGCCAAAAAUAGGCCACGGAGACAGCCGUGCCCAAAAAUAACCGCCCGAAGGCCGGGGCGCCAAGUUCGUCAACCGGAAAAACGCCACAAAAACGGGUUGGCUAUAGUCUUGGGGGGUGGGGCUGGCCAACUUCGUACGCCGGACUCGGAAUGGCGCGAGACUUUGCGAGCAUCCUCCGUGUGCCAAAAAUAGGCCGCAGGCAUAGCCGCGCCCAAAAAUUACCGCACGAAGGCCGGGGCACCAAGUUCGUCCAGCGGAAAAAGGCCAUGAAAACGGGUGGGCUAUAGCCUUGGGGGGUGGGGCUGGCCCACAUCGUCUGCCGGACUCGGAAUGGCGCGAGACUUUGGCAGCGGCCUCCGUGUGCCAAAAAUAGGCCGCGGGCACAGCCGCACCCAAAAAUAACCGCCCGAAGGCCGGGGCGCCCAGUUCGUCCAGCGGAAAAAGGCCACAAAAACAGGUGGGCUUUAGCCUUGCGGGGUGGGGCUGGCCCACUUAGUCCGCCGGACUCGGAAUGGCACCAGACUUUGCGAUUCGCCUCCGUGUGCUAAAAAUAGGCCGCGGGCACAGUCGCGCCCAAAAAUAACUGCCCGAAGGCCGGGGCGCCAAGUUCGUCCAGCGGAAAAAGGCCACAAAAACGAGUGGGCGAUAGCCCUGGGGGGUGGGGCUGGCCAAUUUCGUCCGCCGGACUCGGAAUGGCGCGAGACUUUGCGAGCGGCCUCCAUGUGCCAAAAAUAGGCCGCGGGCACAGCCGCUCCCAAAAAUAACCACCCGAAGGCCGGGGCGCCAAGUUCGUCCAGCGGAAAAAGGCCACAAAAACGGGUGGGCUAUAGCCUUGGGGGGUGGGGCUGGCCAACUUCGUCCGCCGGACUCGGAAUGGCGCGAGACUUUGCGAGCGGCCUCCAUGUGCCAAAAAUAGGCCGCGGGCACAGCCGCUCCCAAAAAUAACCGCACAAAGGCCGGGGCGCCAAGUUCGUCCCGCGGAAAAAGGCCACAAAAACGGGAGGGCUAUAGCCUUGGGGGGUGGGGCUGGCCGACUUCGUCCGCCGGACUUGGAAUGGCGCGAGACUUUGCGAGCGUCCUCCGUGUGCCAAAAAUAGGCCGCAGGCACAGCCACGCCCAAAAAUAACCACACGAAGGCCGGGGCAACAAGUUCAUCCAGUGGACAAAGGCCACGAAAACGGGUGGGCUAUAGCCUUGGGGGGUGGGGCUGGCCCACAUCGUCCGCCGGACUCGGAAUGGCGCGAGACUUUGCGAGCGGCCUCCGUGUGCCAAAAAUAGGCUGCGGGCACAGCCUCACCCAAAAAUUACAGCCCGAAGGCCGGGGCGCCAAGUUCGUCCAGCGGAAAAAGGCCACAAAAACGGGUGGGCUAUAGCCUUGGGGAGUGGGGCUGGCCAAUUUCGUCCGCCGGACUCGGAAUGGUGCGAGACUUUGCGAGCGGCCUCCGUGUGCCAAAAAUAGGACGUUGGCUCAGCCGCGCCCAAAAAUAACCACCCGAAGGCCGGGGCGCCAAGUUCGUCCAGCGGAAAAAGGCCACAAAAACGGGUGUGCUAUAGCCUUGGGGGGUGGGGCUGGCAAACUUCGUCCGCCGGACUCGGAAUGGCGCGAGACUUUGCGAGCGGCCUCCAUGUGCCAAAAAUAGGCCGCGGGCACAGCCGCGCCCAAAAAUAACCGCGCGAAGGCCAGGGCGUCAAGUUCGUCCAGCAGAACAAGGCCAAAAAAUCGGGUGGGCUAUAGCCUUGGGGGGUGCGGCUGGCCGACUUCCUCCGCCAGACUUCGAAUGGCGCGAGAUUUUGCAAGCGGCCUCCGUGUGGCAAAAAUAUGGUCGCGGGCACAGCCGCGNNNNNNNNNNNNNNNNNNNNNNNNNNNNNNNNNNNNNNNNNNNNNNNNNNNNNNNNNNNNNNNNNNNNNNNNNNNNNNNNNNNNNNNNNNNNNNNNNNNNNNNNNNNNNNNGGACUCAGAAUGGCGCGAACUUUGCGAGGCACUCGGUGUGCCAAAAAUAGGACGCGGGCACAGCCGUACCCAAAAAUACCUCCGGAAGGCCGGGGCGCGGAGUUCGUCCAGCGGAAAAAGGCCAUAAAAACGGGUGGGCUAUAGCCUUGGGGGGUGGGGCUGGCCAACUUCAUCUGCCGAACUCGGAAUGGCGCGAGACUUUGCGAGCGGCCUCCGUGUGCCAAAAAUAGGCCACGGGCACAGCCCCGUUCAAAAAUAACCGCCCGAACGCCGGGGCGCCAAGUUCGUCCCGCGGAAAAAGGCCACAAAAACGGGAGGGCUAUAGCCUUGGGGGGUGGGGCGGGCCAACUUCGUCCGCCGGACUUGGAAUGGCGCGAGACUUUACGAGCAUCCUCCGUGUGCCAAAAAUAGGCCGCAGGCACAGCCACGCCCAAAAAUAACCGCACGAAGGCCAGGGCAACAAGUUCGUCCAGCGGAAAAAGGCCAGAAAAACAGGUGGGCUAUAGCCUUGGGGGGUGGGGCUGGCCCACAUCGUCCGCCGGACUCGGAAUGGCGCGAGACUUUGCGAGCGGCCUCCGUGUGCCAAAAAUAGGCCGCGGGCACAGCCACAACCAAAAAUUACUGCCCGAAGGCCGGGGCGCCCAGUUCGUCCAGCGGAAAAAGGCCACAAAAACGGGUGGGCUAUAGCCUUGCGGGGUGGGGCUAGCCAACUUCGUCCGCCGGACACGGAAUGGCGCGAGACUUUGCGAUUGGCCUCUGUGUGCCAAAAAUAGGCCGCGGGUACACCCGCGCCCAAAAAUAACCGCCCGAAGGCCGGGGCGCCAAGUUCGUGCAGCGGAAAAAGGUCACAAAAACGGGUGGGCUAUAGCCUUGGGGGGUGGGGCCGGCCAAUUUCGUCCGCCGGACUCGGAAUGGCACGAGACUUUGCGAGCGGCCUCCGUGUGCCAAAACUAGGCCGUGGGCACGGCUGCGCCCAAAAAUAACCGUCCAAAGGCCGGGGCGCCAAGUUCGUCCAGCCGAAAAAGGCCACAAAAACGGGUGGGCUAUAGCCUUGGGGGGUGGGGCUGUCCAACUUCGUCCGCCGGACUCGGAAUGGCGCGAGACUUUGCGAGGCGAUACCGUGUGCCAAAAAUAGGCCGCGGGCACAACCGCGCCCAAAAAUAACUGCCCGAAGGCCGGGGCGCCAAGUUCGUCCAGCGGAAAAAGGCUACAAAAACAGGUGGGCUAUAGCCUUGGGGGGUGGGGCUGGCCAACUUCGUCCACCGGACUCGGAAUGGUGCGAUACUUUGCGAGGCGCCUCCGUGUGCCAAAAAUAGGCCGCGGUACAGCCGCUCUCAAAAAUAACCGCCCGAAGGCAGGGGCACCAAGUUCGUCCAGCGGAAAAAGGCCACAAAAACGGGUGGGCUAUAGCCUUGCGGGGUGGGGCUGUCCAACUUCGUCCGCCGGACUCGGAAUGGCGUGAAACUUUACGAGGC